rnacentral:lncRNA from 1 species
GUUGUUUAUAUACUUUUGUUUAUCUUAACUGUAUAUCGGAAUAACAUCCAAUGAUAUAUAUUUUUGAUGCUGAAGUCCGCAUCUGGGUGUGAGAUUUAAUUCUAACUGUGUCAAAGACCAAUUGGGUGCUUGGGCUGGGUUUUUUUUUUUUUUUUCAUCUGAUUAUUGUCUCUUUGAGACAUUCCACAUUUCAAUUUUUAAAUUUUCUUAUACAUGCAUUUUUAUACCAUUUUUGUCGAGCCUUCGACUUUAGUCGAAAAAAGCGAGACUAAGCGAUCCUACAUUCCGGCGGCGGCGGCCACAAAUAUUCACUCUGUGGUUAAAGUUUUUGAAAUUUUGAUAACUUUAUUAAAAUAUACUGGAUUUCUACCAAGCUUUGAAAGAAACUUGUUUAUGAUCAUAAGAUAUUAUCCAGAAGUAAAUUUUGUAAAAAAAAUAAAUCCAUUUUUUCCGUAUUUUACUUUUAAAUGGCCUUAGUUUUUCUGCGGGGAAAC